AGCGACUGGAGUGUUUCAGGAGAAUGUUCCCCGAAGAAAAAGCCAAAUGACCUUUGGAGAAAGAAGAAAGGAGACUUAAGCAAUAAGUCCUAGCUACACAUAUUUAAAAUGUUUCUCUUCUGGUAAAUUAACGGCUAGCUUUCAUUACUCCUACAGAGAGCUCAGUGCACUUAAAAAGAUACAUAGGUAUGUAGAAACCCGAAGUGAUUUCUAAUUUUAAAAAUGUUUAUUUGAAAUAUCCCUGGAUCUAAACCACUGCAAAUGUUUAUUGCACGAUUAUCAUGAGCAAGAUACAGGACAUUACAGAGAGCACCAAGAACUCUGAGUCCCAGAGGAGAAUAAAAAUGCCAGCUGUGGAGAUGAGUUGUGGGCUCCUAGAAAAAGAGCCGUUAGGCUGCAAGGCACCUUGUGGAUUAAGAAGCUGACAUCGUUUGACUUAGGUUUCAAA
rnacentral:lncRNA from 1 species